rnacentral:rRNA from 1 species
AGAACGAACGCUGGCGGCAGGCUUAACACAUGCAAGUCGAACGCCCCGCAAGGGGAGUGGCAGACGGGUGAGUAACACGUGGGAACGUCCCCCUCGGUUCGGAAUAACUCAGGGAAACUUGAGCUAAUACCGAAUACGUCCGAGAGGAGAAAGAUUUAUCGCCGAGGGAUCGGCCCGCGUCUGAUUAGCUAGUUGGUGAGGUAACGGCUCACCAAGGCGACGAUCAGUAGCUGGUCUGAGAGGAUGAUCAGCCACACUGGGACUGAGACACGGCCCAGACUCCUACGGGAGGCAGCAGUGGGGAAUAUUGGACAAUGGGCGCAAGCCUGAUCCAGCAAUGCCGCGUGGAGGACGAAGGCUUUCUGAGUUGUAAACUCCUUUCAGCAGGGACGAUUGUGACGGUACCUGCAGAAGAGCACCGGCCAACUACGUGCCAGCAGCCGC